rnacentral:rRNA from 1 species
GACACUAUGUGUUGUUGGGUAGGGGAGCGUUCUGUAAGCCUGUGAAGGUGUGUCGUGAGGCAUGCUGGAGGUAUCAGAAGUGCGAAUGCUGACAUAAGUAACGAUAAAGCGGGUGAAAAGCCCGCUCGCCGGAAGACCAAGGGUUCCUGUCCAACGUUAAUCGGGGCAGGGUGAGUCGACCCCUAAGGCGAGGCCGAAAGGCGUAGUCGAUGGGAAACGGGUUAAUAUUCCCGUACUUGGUGUUACUGCGAAGGGGGGACGGAGAAGGCUAUGUUGGCCGGGCGACGGUUGUCCCGGUUUAAGCGUGUAGGUGUGUGUUCCAGGUAAAUCCGGUUCACUUUAACACUGAGGCGUGACGACGAGGCACUACGGUGCUGAAGCAACAAAUGCCCUGCUUCCAGGAAAAGCCUCUAAGCAUCAGGUAACAUCAAAUCGUACCCCAAACCGACACAGGUGGUCAGGUAGAGAAUACCAAGGCGCUUGAGAGAACUCGGGUGAAGGAACUAGGCAAAAUGGUGCCGUAACUUCGGGAGAAGGCACGCUGACACGUAGGUGAAGUGAUUUACUCAUGGAGCUGAAGUCAGUCGAAGAUACCAGCUGGCUGCAACUGUUUAUUAAAAACACAGCACUGUGCAAACACGAAAGUGGACGUAUACGGUGUGACGCCUGCCCGGUGCCGGAAGGUUAAUUGAUGGGGUCAGCGCAAGCGAAGCUCCUGAUCGAAGCCCCGGUAAACGGCGGCCGUAACUAUAACGGUCCUAAGGUAGCGAAAUUCCUUGUCGGGUAAGUUCCGACCUGCACGAAUGGCGUAAUGAUGGCCAGGCUGUCUCCACCCGAGACUCAGUGAAAUUGAACUCGCUGUGAAGAUGCAGUGUACCCGCGGCAAGACGGAAAGACCCCGUGAACCUUUACUAUAGCUUGACACUGAACAUUGAGCCUUGAUGUGUAGGAUAGGUGGGAGGCUUUGAAGUGUGGACGCCAGUCUGCAUGGAGCCGACCUUGAAAUACCACCCUUUAAUGUUUGAUGUUCUAACGUGGACCCGUGAUCCGGGUUGCGGACAGUGUCUGGUGGGUAGUUUGACUGGGGCGGUCUCCUCCUAAAGAGUAACGGAGGAGCACGAAGGUUGGCUAAUCCUGGUCGGACAUCAGGAGGUUAGUGCAAUGGCAUAAGCCAGCUUGACUGCGAGCGUGACGGCGCGAGCAGGUGCGAAAGCAGGUCAUAGUGAUCCGGUGGUUCUGAAUGGAAGGGCCAUCGCUCAACGGAUAAAAGGUACUCCGGGGAUAACAGGCUGAUACCGCCCAAGAGUUCAUAUCGACGGCGGUGUUUGGCACCUCGAUGUCGGCUCAUCACAUCCUGGGGCUGAAGUAGGUCCCAAGGGUAUGGCUGUUCGCCAUUUAAAGUGGUACGCGAGCUGGGUUUAGAACGUCGUGAGACAGUUCGGUCCCUAUCUGCCGUGGGCGCUGGAGAACUGAGGGGGGCUGCUCCUAGUACGAGAGGACCGGAGUGGACGCAUCACUGGUGUUCGGGUUGUCAUGCCAAUGGCACUGCCCGGUAGCUAAAUGCGGAAGAGAUAAGUGCUGAAAGCAUCUAAGCACGAAACUUGCCCCGAGAUGAGUUCUCCCUGAGACUUAAAGUCUCCUGAAGGAACGUUGAAGACGACGACGUU